AGUGAACGCUGGCGGCGUGCCUAAUACAUGCAAGUCGAACGGAGAUUAAGUAGCUUGCUAUUUAAUCUUAGUGGCGCACGGGUGAGUAAUAUAUAGCUAACUUGCCCAUUACUAAGGGACAACAGUUGGAAACGACUGCUAAUACCUUAUACUCCGUAUCUAUAUAAGUAGAUACGGGAAAGUUUUUCGGUAAUGGAUAGGGCUAUAUCGUAUCAGCUAGUUGGUAAGGUAAUGGCUUACCAAGGCUAUGACGCGUAACUGGUCUGAGAGGAUGAUCAGUCACACUGGAACGGAGACACGGUCCAGACUCCUACGGGAGGCAGCAGUAGGGAAUAUUGCUCAAUGGGGGAAACCCUGAAGCAGCAACGCCGCGUGGAGGAUGACACUUUUCGGAGCGUAAACUCCUUUUCUCGGGAAAGAAUUAUGACGGUACCCAAGGAAUAAGCACCGGCUAACUCCGUG
rnacentral:rRNA from 1 species